UACGGAGGGAGCUAGCGUUGUUCGGAAUUACUGGGCGUAAAGCGCACGUAGGCGGCCAUUCAAGUCAGAGGUGAAAGCCCGGGGCUCAACUCCGGAACUGCCCUUGAAACUGGGAAGCUAGAAUCUUGGAGAGGCGAGUGGAAUUCCGAGUGUAGAGGUGAAAUUCGUAGAUAUUCGGAAGAACACCAGUGGCGAAGGCGACUCGCUGGACAAGUAUUGACGCUGAGGUGCGAAAGCGUGGGGAGCAAACAGG
rnacentral:rRNA from 1 species